GACGAACGCUGGCGGCGUGCCUAAUACAUGCAAGUUGAGCGCUGAAGGUUGGUACUUGUACCGACUGGAUGAGCAGCGAACGGGCGAGUAACGCGUGGGGAAUCUGCCUUUGAGCGGGGGACAACAUUUGGAAACGAAUGCUAAUACCGCAUAAAAACUUUAAACACAAGUUUUAAGUUUGAAAGAUGCAAUUGCAUCACUCAAAGAUGAUCCCGCGUUGUAUUAGCUAGUUGGUGAGGUAAAGGCUCACCAAGGCGAUGAUACAUAGCCGACCUGAGAGGGUGAUCGGCCACAUUGGGACUGAGACACGGCCCAAACUCCUACGGGAGGCAGCAGUAGGGAAUCUUCGGCAAUGGACGAAAGUCUGACCGAGCAACGCCGCGUGAGUGAAGAAGGUUUUCGGAUCGUAAAACUCUGUUGGUAGGGAAGAACGUUGGUGAGAGUGGAAAGCUCAUCAAGUGACGGUAACUACCCAGAAAGGGACGGCUAACUACGUG
rnacentral:rRNA from 1 species